GAAGUAAAAAGUCGUAACAAGGUCUCCGUUGGUGAACCAGCGGAGGGAUCAUUACCGAGUUUACAACUCCCAAACCCCUGUGAACAUACCACUUGUUGCCUCGGCGGAUCAGCCCGCUCCCGGUAAAACGGGACGGCCCGCCAGAGGACCCCUAAACUCUGUUUCUAUAUGUAACUUCUGAGUAAAACCAUAAAUAAAUCAAAACUUUCAACAACGGAUCUCUUGGUUCUGGCAUCGAUGAAGAACGCAGCAAAAUGCGAUAAGUAAUGUGAAUUGCAGAAUUCAGUGAAUCAUCGAAUCUUUGAACGCACAUUGCGCCCGCCAGUAUUCUGGCGGGCAUGCCUGUUCGAGCGUCAUUUCAACCCUCAAGCACAGCUUGGUGUUGGGACUCGCGUUAAUUCGCGUUCCCCAAAUUGAUUGGCGGUCACGUCGAGCUUCCAUAGCGUAGUAGUAAAACCCUCGUUACUGGUAAUCGUCGCGGCCACGCCGUUAAACCCCAACUUCUGAAUGUUGACCUCGGAUCAGGUAGGAAUACCCGCUGAACUUAAGCAUAUCAAU
rnacentral:rRNA from 1 species